GACGGUAAGGUAUUGGCUUACCGUGGCAGUAACGGUUAACGGGGGAUUAGGGUUCGAUUCCGGAGAGGCAGCCUGAGAAACGGCUACCACAUCUAAGGAAGGCAGCAGGCGCGCAAAUUACCUAAUUCUAACAGAAAAAGAGAGGUAGUGACAAGAAAUAACAAUACAAGGCAAUUAAGUUGUUUUGUAAUUGGAAUGAUAAAAACUUAAAAACUUUUCAAAGUAUCAAUUGGAGGGCAAGUCUGGUGCCAGCAGCCGCGGUAAUUCCAGCUCCAAUAGCGUAUAUUAAAAUUGUUGCAGUUAAAAAGCUCGUAGUUAAAUUUCUGCUAACAAUAACCGGUCUGCUUUGAAUAAAAAGUGGUACUUUGGUGCGUUUUUAGCAAUAAUGUUCUUUGAAAUGUUUUUUACUUUAUUGUAUAAAACAAUAUUCUGGAUUUUUACUUUGAGAAAAUUAAAGUGUUUCUAGCAGGCUAAUGUUUUGAAUACUGCAGCAUGGAAUAAUAAAAUAAGAUUUUAGUUCUACAUUAUUGGUUUUAAGAACUAAAAUAAUAAUUAAUAGGAACAGUUGGGGGUAUUUGUAUUUAACUGUCAGAGGUG
rnacentral:rRNA from 1 species